GAGGGUAUAGCUCAGUGGUAGAGUGCAUGGGUAGCAUGCAUGAGGUCCUGGGUUCAAUCCCCAGUACCUCCU
rnacentral:tRNA from 1 species